rnacentral:misc_RNA from 1 species
AACGCACAUUGCGCCCCCUGGUAUUCCGGGGGGCAUGCCUGUCCGAGCGUCAUUACCGCCCUCAGGCCCGGCUUGUGUGUUGGGUCCCGUCCUCCAAUCCUGGGGGACGGGCCCGAAAGGCAGCGGCGGCACCGAGUCCGGUCCUCGAGCGUAUGGGGCUUUGUCACCCGCUCUGUAGGCCCGGCCGGCGUUUGCCAACCAACCCAAAUUUUUAUUCAGGUUGACCUCGGAUCAGGUAGGGAUACCCGCUGAACUUAA